CUCUGUUUCAAAAUAUAAGAUGUUUCGGUAGGCUAAACUACAUAUCUUGAAUGCAGUUUACCAGACCGAAGCUAGCAAAUUAUGGGCAUGUACCUAUUCGUUUUAAAAACCUUUCAAUUAUGCACAGACAACUAGAAAAUUAUGAGCAAUCUAUGUAUUUAUUUACCGAACCUUGCAACUGUGAAUGGACUGAUCAAUUGGAAGAUAGUUUUGUUGGACCAACCAUAUGAUUGCUCACUAAGCAGCAUUUCAGCAAGUAGAUAAUAGUAAUUCAGGUAAAGAUUAUUUUUGCUAUGCAAAAUAUAAAAUGGACAAGUCACUUUCUGAAGUAGUUUGGGGAAGUCCCUUGGGAAAUAGUACUUGCUUACUCGAUUUUAUUCGUAGUUCGAACAUGGACCUUAGAAGGGUGAUUUUGCUAGAUUGGAGGUUAAUUUUUUUUUGCAAAUAAGUUAUAUAUUCCUUGAACAAAAAUCUACCUAAUUUUAUGUUGGAUACCUUCAUAUAUCUUCAUAUAUUUGGCUAGAUUGCUUUUUCAUGCCAGAUUCAGAUUCAACCAAGUGACGAUUCCAACUUGGUCACAGAAUAAGAAAAUGCCUUGCGGUCCUCUUCUACCACAAGCACAUCACCUCUUAGGCACUUCGUUGUUUCCCUGGUAUAACAACACUGUUCAAACCAUUUCCUUGGAGACAAUACAUUUUAAUUUGUCUUACAAUGCCUACAGUUUUCUUCAUACAACAAUUCCUUCACCUGCCAUUGAACUCCACCAAUGCUGGAUCUACAACAAAUAGACAAGGAACCCAGAGGUUGACUCCCAAUCUCUCUUUUUAUGGAAUUAUGCCGCAUACUAUGUACUAUGUAUCAUGAUUGCAAUAUACAGGAAUCAAGGUGAUACUAAGGAGAUUUUCACUUCAUAUGAUGUUUUGCUGAUAUAAACCAGCAAGAAGAUCUUCUUAGAGGUAUGUACAACUUUGUUUUCAACUUCAUUGAAGUCAGCUUUAUUUAUACAUGGAACACAUUUGAAGGUAAACCUUUUCAAAAGCCUCAAUCGACCUAUUUUAUAUUGUAUAGUUUGACAUCCCUUGCACAUGAAUGACUAUUCAUUGAUAGUGCCUGCAAAGAUGUGACUGUAGUUGUUUCUUUGUCUGCACGAUCAUUCUUAAAUUUGUGACAUAUAGAUUGGCUCUCAUGCAUAUCAUAUAUCUAAGCAAAUAAAUUGAUAUUACAUUGAAGAAAGGGA
rnacentral:rRNA from 1 species